UACGUCACCUGUCGCCUGAGGUUGAAGCUGCGAGAUCGGAGAAGUUUUGAUUUGUUUUGAUUCUUUCUUGUGGUGUUGUCCUGAACAGAGCCGUUUGAUGAGCUGGGACGGGACGGCACGCAUGUGUGCGGUCCAUAUGGAGAGAAUCCAGCAUCACUGCCCACAGCAUCAACCAAUCACAUUUUGGUUCUGGAUAUUCGGGUUCCUCUCUGUGUACUGCGUUCUCUUAUCUCAGAUCCGCAGAGCUGAAUGUACUACCCUCCUUCCUCCAUCGUAGAUUAAAGAAAUAUCUUUGACAUUUAUUGAGGCUCUCGUCUGACGUCCGAGGGCUCUCCGUGAGAACUGAUGUCCUCCAGAAUUCAAUUUCCUCCGCGGUGAUCUGCUUUUAUCUGCGUGUAGCUGUUCCCAGGCCUGUGUUAAUGAAAGCUGUCAGUCGAGCGGGACACGUCGUGCAGGUGAUUGAGGGUGACCAGACGACUCACCUGUACACACACACACACACACACUAUGGUGUCGCCAGGUGUGUUUGUGACUACACAGAAGAUAUUUAUUUUGGGUUAAAACAACAGUAGGGUCAAUUUAGUUUUUUUCAACUAUUUCUUUCAUUUAAACCCCUUUCUGUAGUAUGUAGUGUUGUAGUGUGUGCUUUUAUCUGUUUAGGGACCUGUGAAGGGUCAGCAUCAGGACAGAUGUGGAUAGGAUUACACUUUAAUGAAAAGCCAAGAUGUUGUGAAUCAAACAGAAAGCCGUACGGUACGGUUCAGUUUGUUCUGGUUUAAGGGCACAUCUCCAGAUGAAGUGAUUAUGAUACUGAACAGAAAACAGAUCUUCAGUCUUAAAGUCUGAGAUGGAGAUCAAGAUUUGGGGUCAUGAACUCAUGAACUCACAUUCCUUCACAUGAGGACGUCUUGAUCAUUAUCAGAAGAAUUACCUUUUUCCUCAUACGAACCCUUAACUCUAAAACCUUUAUCACAAAUAAAUGUGCCAAAGAGAAAUUCAGAGAUAAUCUUUUACAUCACUGAAGUACUAUGGUCUGUCAAAUCAU